ACUGAGACACGGCCCAAACUCCUACGGGAGGCAGCAGUAGGGAAUCUUCGGCAAUGGACGAAAGUCUGACCGAGCAACGCCGCGUGAGUGAAGAAGGUUUUCGGAUCGUAAAACUCUGUUGGUAGAGAAGAACGUUGGUGAGAGUGGAAAGCUCAUCAAGUGACGGUAACUACCCAGAAAGGGACGGCUAACUACGUGCCAGCAGCCGCGGUAAUACGUAGGUCCCGAGCGUUGUCCGGAUUUAUUGGGCGUAAAGCGAGCGCAGGUGGUUUAUUAAGUCUGGUGUAAAAGGCAGUGGCUCAACCAUUGUAUGCAUUGGAAACUGGUAGACUUGAGUGCAGGAGAGGAGAGUGGAAUUCCAUGUGUAGCGGUGAAAUGCGUAGAUAUAUGGAGGAACACCGGUGGCGAAAGCGGCUCUCUGGCCUGUAACUGACACUGAGGCUCGAAAGCGUGGGGAGCAAACAGGAUUAGAUACCCUGGUAGUCCACGCCGUAAACGAUGAGUGCUAGAUGUAGGGAGCUAUAAGUUCUCUGUAUCGCAGCUAACGCAAUAAGCACUCCGCCUGGGGA
rnacentral:rRNA from 1 species